rnacentral:rRNA from 1 species
CCUACGGGAGGCAGCAGUAGGGAAUCUUUCACAAUGGGCGAAAGCCUGAUGGAGCAACGCCGCGUGCAGGAUGAAGGCCUUCGGGUUGUAAACUGCUUUUAUAAGCGAGAAAUAUGAUGGUAACUUAUGAAUAAGGAUCGGCUAACUACGUGCCAGCAGCCGCGGUCAUACGUAGGAUCCGAGCAUUAUCCGGAGUGACUGGGUGUAAAGAGUUGCGUAGGUGGCAUAAUAAGUAGCUAGUGAAAUCUGGUGGUUAAACCAUUCAGACUAUUAGCUAAACUGUAAGCUCGAGACCGUUAGGGGUAACUGGAAUUUCUAGUGUAGGAGUGAAAUCCGUAGAUAUUAGAAGGAACACCAAUAGCGUAGGCAGGUUACUGGGACGGUUCUGACACUAAGGCACGAAAGCGUAGGGAGCAAACGGGAUUAGAUACCCGGGUAGUC